CUAAUGUGUACGUGCAAUGUUAUAAUUACCUUUCCUUUUGACAAGGAUGCGUUAAGUGUGGCUGUAAUAUGGGAACUCCUUUCAGCUUUCAUUAACUCAAUAUAAAUCCAAAGCUUGCAGAUUCAGCAGAGUUGUCUAUAGUGGCUUAAUUGGAAUUGCUGGACAAGAACAUUGAUUCUGCUUCACUCAGGUAAAGAUGAAAGUAACUGCAACAAUGGAUAUUGCAUUUGAAGGUCAUUGAGUUGUAGUCAGGCAAGGGGAGCAGAUAUUAAAACAUACACGCACAAAAUAAUGGGAUUUUUAUUUAGCAUCUCGCAAGUCUUGAGUAACAUAGUAUUAAUUGACCUUGAGAUUUCAUUCUUUUGUGACUCAUUGCAUUUGCUUUUGUGUUUCAGAUUAAUAUAGAAUAUUUUAAAGAAAGAGUAAUACAGCCAAUUUUAAUCUCUGGGAAGUUUAUGCAAGACAUAAUUUAUUUGUAAACUUUAUAAUAAUAUGUGAAUUAAAGACCCUUGUUAGUUUGGUAUGAAUCUGACAUAAGGGCUAAAAUCACUUUUUCAUUAGCCUUCUCCUGAUCUCAGGUUUACACCUAAGAGAUUCUUCACUCCAAAGUCUUCAUUUCCAAGCACAACCUGCUGGGUGCUGCGCUUUUCUGAGGUCUCCUCCCCAGCUCUGCAUCUAGCAGUGCUCAUGAUGCAAUGAUUUCCUGUCUGACUAUCCCAUUCCUAUCCUUUGCAAAGUUCACAUAGACCCAUUUGAGUACACUUUUAGUAGCAUACCAAGUUUAAGUGCCAAAGUUGUGUUUUAGUUCUUUCAUCCAGAAAGAAAACAUCAGCUGUUUCAAAUUUUAGAGUCCAGCUUGGGCAACAAGAGAAUUGUCAUGUCGUCGAUUGUGUAGUAAGACACAGUGAGUGUCCAGCAAUGUAAAAUCAGUCUAUAAAUGAGAAGAUUAAGACCAAAAGCAUCGGGUUACAAACAUCUCACUAAAGCCCAUUAGCAGGCAGAGAGCUCUCCGCGGAGCUAGAAAAUGAGACUUUUCCCUCCUUUCUGCCCCAUACAUUAGUGCUGAUCUCAGGAGCUCAUUUUUGCACCCUUUGUGGCAGACAACCAUAUAAUCAAAGGGUUCCCAUCACUAAAUCAUUUGAAAAGACAAGUAGAAAUUAGCUUUAGCUAAUUUAACUAGCCUUUGCCCCUCCUCCUGACCCUGAGGGUGAAGCACAUUUUAUCAUUCAUCCUCUGGGGGCUGGCUUAUGCUGGCUCCCUUUCCUUUGGCAGUGAUUUUAAGCAACCAAGUUCUUAUUACAAUUCUCAAAUUUAAAAUUAAGUUCUGAUCACAUCUUCUCAGGGCAUACCUAAGAGGCAGUGUUUAUCCCCAGCCAAAUCAAUUGUUUCCUCAAGUGACUCAUUCCUGAAAAUGUUAUUGUUUCUAAUAACCAGCUCAAAUAUGUAUUUUCAUUAAUCUUUUCUUUUACCUCCAUUUCACACGUGUUGCUGCAUGUCAGGCAGUUUCCACAAGGAUCUGCCAUGACAUCAUUGUGUGAGGUAUGAAAAAAAAAUUUUUUUUUUUCUAAUUUAAGAAUUACUUUUACUCAGAUGGUGGCUGGGCUGGGAAAUGUUCCCCAUUGCCCUGGGAGUUUUAGGCCAAGGCUUGUGUGUGUGUGUGUGUGUGUGUGUGUGUUGGAAGGGUCUCUCAUUGCCUAUUUCUGCUUAUAUAACACACACUGGUUUAGGUAGGUGGAGUCAGAAUGGGAAGAGGAAGUUCCCUAAGUGUUUCUUGCAUGCAAAGGUAAGUGGAGAAUGCCCAUCUGGGCACACAGGGCAAGGAUGCAGUGGAGUGACCUCUCCUUUCCCCUCCAACUCACAUGCUGGAGUUUAAAAACUGUAUCAGGAUGACAGAAACCAAGGGUAAGCCACUGGCCUAGACAAGAAGCAACUCUGCACUGCUUUUCAAACAUCAUCCUCCCUCUCGACCGCAGGGACUAUUUGGUUUCUAUUCUACUUCUGGCCUUUCAUAUUCCUGAUGGUGCAUUGGAUGAAACCCCGCAGCCAGGCGUGUGAACGUGGUUGAAAAGACCCAUGGAGGACCAGCAACGCUUCCCCACAGCGUGGGAUGGUCCCCUCCUGAGAUGGCCCACUGUCAGCGGGACUGACGCCAAGCACUGCAUCCUGUCUGCUUCUUGAACAGCCCCUUCAUUGUUUGUUCAGCUAUUCUGCUGCAUCUGCAGAUAGCCCUGCCUGAGAAACAGCCUCAAACCAGAAGGAGAGGAUGGCGGCAAGCCUUAGAGAAACAUCAAAAUUUGCUAUUAAGAAAAUAGUGAAGAAGUCUCAUCAGAGAGAAGUUAAAAGCAUACUAGUGGAUUCCUUGGGGCUGCAGAAAGAGUAGCAAAAAGUUGGAGAAAACAUCAACUACACCAAAGGAAUUUUAGGAGCUUGGUCCCCAGCAAAGCUCAUGGAAUCUCUCUCUGCAAGGAAGAGUCAGUUUUAAAAGCCCUCAGCCUGCUCUCAAUGGGUCCUGCCUCCUUCCCUGCCUGCACCCCAACACUGGGGAAAGGAGAAACCUCCGUUAGCAAGUUGGAGAAAAGGAGUUGAGGAAGGAAGAGGAUAGCCCGGCCCCCUCCCUGACUGCAGGUUUUUCUUUUUCUUUUUAACAGUGGAUUCUAGCGAGGGGAGGGCAAAUCCCUGAAACCUUGAAUGAAGUUGGAAGCCUUUACUAGUUUGUGUGUUUGGAAUUCUAAGUAGAAAUUGAGACUGUGUUUUGUGACUCAAAUGACUAAGAUUUUCUGUUACCUACGAGUGGCCAAAAUGUCAAGUAUUCAUCCGGGGGCAGGGUGAAAACUAGACCUACUGAGAAAGUUAAAAGACAAGGGGAAAACACAAUAAACCUGCUGUAUUUUUACCUCCAAAGUGUCCAUUCAAUUUACUGGCUGUAGUAGUUUGAAAGCAAGGUUCUGUGAUAUCAUUCCAGAGUUGAGAGUAACAAAAGCUGAUAAUUGUAAAUGCAGCACUAUCCAAUGGAAAUAUAAUGCAAAUUAUAUGCGUGACUUAACAUUUUUU
rnacentral:lncRNA from 1 species